rnacentral:lncRNA from 1 species
GAGCACUCAGCCAGGCCUGAAUCACUGGCCCUUGCCCUCUAGGUUAAGGGAAACAGAGAGCCUCCCUUUGCUCUUCCCCAUUUGGGGUGGCUGGGGAGAGUGAGUGAGUGUGAGUGUGAGUGUGUGUGUGUGUGAUGAGUGCUUGAAUGUGUCUCUUCAGAUACCAAGGGGGCCCCUAUGUCCUGGAUUUUGGGUCAGUCUUUGCAAAAGGGGGAAGCUGGCAAAGCAUACCCCCAUUUGCCCACCCCCACCCCUGUGAGAACCUCUUCCAUACCCACUCCUGCCUGUCCCCGGCUGCCUCCCUCCAGUGUCAAUUCUCCGUCCUGUGCACCUUCUCUCAAGCACUUGUGUCUUUCCAGGCCCCCAAGACAAUGAGGUUUCUAAGCCAUUAUAUGGUGUCUGGUGAAGACAGAAAAGAAGGCCUUUCCUCCUGCCCUCCCAUCCUCCCUAGGCUUUCUGGCAACAGGAGGACUUCUGGAGCCACUCAACAGGACAAUCAUUGGCACCCAAGCCCCUCUAGAGCCCUGGAUUCUCCACCAUUCCUGCUCUGCCAGUCCUCAGCCUCCACCUCUGGCCUGCUGCAGAUUGUCACAAUCCAUGCUGAUUGGGUCCACGACAAAGGUGUGUUUGCUGGUGCUUGCUUGUCUGAUUGUCUCCUUAUUCUAUUUCCAAAACGUCUCCAUUCUUCUCCAGCCACCAUCCCCUCACUCAGCAGAAAGCAUGUUUAGAUCUCUUCUACUUAAAAACAAUAACCCAACAGACCAAGAUCUAGGAGAUGCAGUAAAGGCAGUGCUGAGAGGGA